rnacentral:rRNA from 1 species
AUUGAACGCUGGCGGCAGGCCUAACACAUGCAAGUCGAGCGGAUGAAGGGUGCUUUCUCCUGGUUUCUGCGUCGGACGGUUGUGUAAUUCCUAGGAAUCUGCCUGGUAGUGGGUUAUAACGUCCUGUAACGGGCGCUAAUACCGCAUUCGUCCUUCGUUAGAUAGUGGUUGUUCUUCGGACCUCACGCUAUCAUAUGAGCCUAGGUCGGAUUAGCUAGUUGGUUUGGUAAAGGCCUACCAAGGCGACGAUCCGUAACUGGUCUGAGAGGAUGAUCAGUCACACUGGAAGUGAGACACGGACCAGACUCCGACGGGAGGCAGCAGUGGGGAAUAGUGGACAAUGGGCGAAAGCAUGAUACAGCAAUGCCGAGUGUGUGAAGAAGGUCUUCGGAUUGUAAAGCACUUUAAGUAGGGAGGAAGGGAAGUAAGUUAAUACCUUGAUGGAUUGACGGUAACAACAGAAAAAGCACCGGCUAACUACGUG